rnacentral:rRNA from 1 species
GUGUCAGCAGCCGCGGUAAUACGGAGGGUGCGAGCGUUAUUCGGAAUUACUGGGCGUAAAGCGCGUGUAGGCGGGGAUGCAAGUCUGAUGUGAAAGCCCUGGGCUUAACCUGGGAAGUGCAUUGGAAACUGCAUUUCUUGAGUACUGGAGAGGAAGGGGGAAUUCCCGGUGUAGAGGUGAAAUUCGUAGAGAUCGGGAGGAAUACCAGUGGCGUAGGCGCCCUUCUGGACGGUUACUGACGCUGAGACGCGAAAGCGUGGGGAGCAAACAGGAUUAGAAACCCGCGUAGUCC